CACGAUCUAACCUUAUCCGGCGCUCCUUAAUGUCAAUUGAUGCCAAUGCAAGUAUGGCGGACUUCGGCGACACGAACUCGCACGAGAUGACAGAGAAUCAUGUCGGCAAGCGGAGCAAUAAUCAGUGGGUGCGACUGAACGUGGGCGGGACGUAUUUUCUAACGGCAAAGACCACCCUGGCGCGAGAUCCGAACUCGUUUCUAUACCGAUUGUGCCAGGAAGACUCAGACCUCAUUUCAGACAGGGACGAGACGGGAGCGUACCUGAUAGAUCGCGACCCAACGUACUUCAGCCCAGUCCUGAAUUACCUCCGUCAUGGUAAGCUAGUUAUCAACAAGGACCUUACAGAAGAAGGGGUGCUAGAGGAGGCAGAAUUUUACAAUAUCACCGAGCUCAUUCGACUAGUCAAAGAAAGAAUCAUUUUGAGGGAUACGCGGCCACAAAGGGAUUCCAAGAAGCACGUCUACAGAGUUCUCCAAUGUCACGAGGACGAGCUGACACAAAUGGUGUCCACAAUGUCGGAUGGCUGGAGAUUCGAACAGCUAAUCAAUAUAGGUUCUCAAUAUAACUAUGGUAAUGACGAUCAUGCUGAGUUUCUAUGUGUGGUAAGCCGAGAAUAUGGACCUAGUCAGCUCAGCAGUAAAGAAGAGGAAUCCACGGAUCGCGUCAAGGUUUUGCAGCAGAAGGGUUCACGCAUGUAAUGUCUAGAUCCGUCCUUGUUUUCCCUUGCCUCCUUUAGUUUGAUCAGCUGCGCUGCGACAAGAUGAAGACUGUUUUCGUUUUUACAUUUAAAGUAUUAAAUUGUAAUACCUGUAUUCUUCUCUUUUUCCGAUUUAUAUUCUCUCUGUCUCUACUCCUAGAUAAUAUUACUCUACAGGGACAUUACAGUGCAAAGGAUAAAGAAAAAAGAAAUUUUAUAGAAAUGUAUUUAUUACAUAGCAAAGAUUGUAUAUGAAGCUUUAAAAACCGAAAGUAACAAAGUUAUUAUUAAUUUAUUCCUUUUUAUUGACAGUGCCCAAAAGACGAAAAGAAAAAAAAAGCGUCGAUCUCACGAAUGGGAAUAGUUUAAUAAUUUCAUACAGUUUAUACAGAUAAUCGCUACGACAAACACAAAGUAAAGAAACCUUCCUUUUUCUAUAAGCACAUCUAUCUGCUUUAAAAGCAGCUUUAUUGAAUACUUUGGACGAAUGGCACAUUUGUGGAGGCAAUCGAUUUCAUACAAAUUUUUAUGAUAUAACGAUAGUCUUUAUCUCCAAUAGUGAUACGAGGUAGAGAUUGCCUUUUUGUACAAUAAUUGUACAAAAGAGUUCUUUUUCCCAUCCGUAUCCUUAUCGUAAGAUCGUCUAAAUUACUUACCUUCGCACUGCCGCUAUAAAACAUAAAAAGAACGUUUGUAUAUUUAACAUGACAAUUUUCGAAACCCAAGAGAUGCAUACUAAUAAAAAUUAUGAAUAUGUAAA
rnacentral:misc_RNA from 1 species